rnacentral:rRNA from 1 species
UACGAAGGGGGCUAGCGUUGUUCGGAAUUACUGGGCGUAAAGCGCACGUAGGCGGAUUUGCCAGUCAGGGGUGAAAUCCCGGGGCUCAACCUCGGAACUGCCUCUGAUACAGCAAGCCUUGAGUCCGGAAGAGGUGGGUGGAAUUCCUAGUGUAGAGGUGAAAUUCGUAGAUAUUAGGAAGAACACCAGUGGCGAAGGCGGCCCACUGGUCCGGUACUGACGCUGAGGUGCGAAAGCGUGGGGAGCAAACAGG